GACGAACGCUGGCGGCGUGCUUAACACAUGCAAGUCGAACGGAAAGGCCCUGCUUUUGUGGGGUGCUCGAGUGGCGAACGGGUGAGUAACACGUGAGUAACCUGCCCUUGACUUUGGGAUAACUUCAGGAAACUGGGGCUAAUACCGGAUAGGAGCUCCUGCUGCAUGGUGGGGGUUGGAAAGUUUCGGCGGUUGGGGAUGGACUCGCGGCUUAUCAGCUUGUUGGUGGGGUAGUGGCUUACCAAGGCUUUGACGGGUAGCCGGCCUGAGAGGGUGACCGGCCAGAUGGGGACUGAGAUACAGACCAGACUCCUACGGGAGGCAGCAGUGGGGAGUAUUGCACAAUGGGCGGAAGCCUGAUGCAGCAACGCCGCGUGCGGGAUGACGGCCUGCGGGUUGUAAACCGCUUUCGCCUGUGACGAAGCGUGAGUGACGGUAAUGGGUAAAGAAGCACCGGCUAACUACGUG
rnacentral:rRNA from 1 species